rnacentral:rRNA from 1 species
AUUGAACGCUGGCGGCAUGCUUUACACAUGCAAGUCGAACGGUAACAGGCCGCAAGGUGCUGACGAGUGGCGAACGGGUGAGUAAUGCAUCGGAACGUGCCCAGUCGUGGGGGAUAACGCAGCGAAAGCUGUGCUAAUACCGCAUACGAUCUAUGGAUGAAAGCGGGGGACCGUAAGGCCUCGCGCGAUUGGAGCGGCCGAUGUCAGAUUAGUUAGUUGGUGGGGUAAAGGCCCACCAAGGCGACGAUCUGUAGCUGGUCUGAGAGGACGACCAGCCACACUGGGACUGAGACACGGCCCAGACUCCUACGGGAGGCAGCAGUGGGGAAUUUUGGACAAUGGGCGCAAGCCUGAUCCAGCAAUGCCGCGUGCAGGAAGAAGGCCUUCGGGUUGUAAACUGCUUUUGUACGGAACGAAACGGUCUGGGUUAAUACCUCGGGCUAAUGACGGUACCGUAAGAAUAAGCACCGGCUAACUACGUGCCAGCCGCCGCCGUAACAC